UGAAGACAAUGGCUGACCGGAUUCUGACCAUGAGAUCUGAACUCAGGGCACGACUAGAAGCCCUCAAAACCCCUGGGACCUGGAACCACAUCACUGAUCAAAUUGGCAUGUUCAGCUUCACUGGCCAAGCAGGUUGAGUAUCUGGUCAAUGAAAAGCACAUCUACCUGCUGCCAAGUGGUCGAAUCAACGUGAGUGGCUUAACCACCAAAAAUCUAGAUUACGUGGCCACCUCCAUCCAUGAAGCAGUCACCAAAAUCCAGUGAAGAAACACCACCCGUCCAGUACCACCAAAGUAGUUCUCUGUCAUGUGUGUUCCCUGCCUGCACAAACCUACAUGUACAUACCAUGGAUUAGAGACACUUGCAGGACUGAAAGGCUGCUCUGGUGAGGCAGCCUCUGUUUAAACCGGCCCCACAUGAAGAGAACAUCCCUUGAGACGAAUUUGGAGACUGGGAUUAGAGCCUUUGGAGGUCAAAGCAAAUUAAGAUUUUUAUUUAAGAAUAAAAGAGUACUUUGAUCAUGAGACAUAGGUAUCUUGUCCCUCUCACUAAAAAGGAGUGUUGUGUGUGGCGGCCACGUGCUUCUAUGUGGUGUUUGACUCUGUACAAAUUCUAGUCCCAAAGAUCAAGUUGUCUGAAGGAGCCAAAGUGUGAAUGUGGGUGUCGGCUGCGGCAUUAAAUUCAUCAUCUCAACCCAGAGUGUCUGGUCUCCCUGCUCUUUCUGCAUGGUUGUGUCCCUAGUCCUAAGCUUUGGUUCUUUAGGGUGACUGUGGUAAGAAGGAUAUUUAAUCAUGACAUGCACGGACACGUACAUAUUUAACUGAAACAAGUUUUACCAAACAGUAUUUACUCGUGAUGUGCGUAGUGCAUUCUGAUAUUUUUGAGCCAUUCUAUUGUGUUCUACUUCACCUAAAAAAAUAAAAUAAAAAUGUUGAUC
rnacentral:lncRNA from 10 species